rnacentral:rRNA from 1 species
AGCUAGAUGAAUUAAAUUUUUAGUUUUACCUGCCCAAUGAUCAUUAAUCUGAAUGGCCGCAGUACCCUGACUGUGCUAAGGUAGCAUAAUCAAUUGUCUUUUAAAUGGAGACUAGAAUGAAUGGAUUUUAUGGGGGUUAGCUGUCUCUUUUAUUUUUUUCUUAACUUCCUUAUAAGGUGAAAAUUCCUUUAAGGUAGAUGAUAGACGAGAAGACCCUAAGAAUUUUAAUAAUAAAUUUUAUUUAAUUUUUAUUUUUUGUUGGGGCAACACAAUAGCAAAAUAUGUAGAUGAAUAAUCUAUUGAAUUCAUCUUUGUACAUGACAGAUUAAUUCUUGGUUGAAAAAAUUACCUUAGGGAUAACAGCGUAAUUUCAUAUGAAGAUUGCGACCUCGAUGUUGGACUAGGAACUUAAUAGUUAGAGACUAAUAGAGAUUGUUCUGUUCGAACAUUUAUUUCCU